GCGGAUGGAAAGAGGGAGAGAUAGAAGAAUGGAGAAGAAUGGAGAAACACAGCCCAUGAAGCUGCCGGCCCAGGGUCCGCAACUGGCAGAAGGCGGCGGCUCUCAGGACAGGCUGCUGAAUCCGGAACCACGGCUCCAUCGCCACCAGCUUUGUGGCCACAGGACAGUUAUAAGCAGUACAGCGGCCGCCUUGUGGGCAGUGCGGUGGGAUUCACGUGGGCUUUCCAGCUGCUAAGGACGUCUUCGCCUUAUUGGGAUCGGCAGAGUAAUUGACACGUCCACACUCUGUGUAAAACGGACGACCUACUGUAGAGCACAGGGAACUCUGCUCCGCGUUUUGUAAGACCGUAGGGAAAAGCAUCCAAAAAGGCGUAUCUAGAAAUCACCGCCCUGGACACCCGAAGCUAUAACACGACCUUAGAAACCAACCGCGUUUCAAUUAAAAACCAAUCUUAUCUCAGAGCAGAGGGCUGGCCGUAUAAUUCAGGGUUGGAGGAGGCUGUAACUUGGACCCGGUGAGACCCCUCCGUUUCGGGCUGGCUUCCUGUUUGCAGCUCACGUACACGGAUAACCGAACACGUUCAUGGGUUCUAGGCGAGUGGUCACAGCGUGUCAACCUUAAAAACCAUGGAGCUGAGGACUAGAUUCUCACUCUUUCCUUGGGGCCUGGUUUCCCUGUGGUCAGAGGACAACAAAACCGCAGUUACCACCGUUUUCAGUGUUUCCCAGAGGACGGGGGCGGGGGGGUCACCUGCGUCCCUGGCGAUUUGGUUCCUGGUGCCUUUAGGUGACUGAAAUUCCUCUCCUCCUCCUUUGCUUUUUCAGAUGAAUUUAUUUCUUUUUAUUUUUUGCUUUAUUUAUUUAUUUUUUUAGGAGGUUCCCAGGCUAGGGGUCGAAUCAGAGCUGCAGCUUCCGGCCGACAGCACAGCCACAGCAACACCAGAUCCAAGUCGUGUCUGCGACCUACACCACAGCUCAUGGCAACGCCGGGUCCUUAACCCACUGAGCAAGGCCAGGGAUCGAACCUGGGUCUUCAUGGAUACUAGUUGGGUUCUUAACCUGCUGAGCCGGGACAGGAACUCCCAAACUAGCUUUAAUGGACAGUUACUCAGGCAACACUUCACCCGGGUAAAUGUCCACAAAACACUGUGUGGGCUGCGUUGCACAUGGUUGGGCCCAGGGGAGAAAUUGCUGGAUGCAGACUCAGAAGACAUGGCUUCAUGCCCCCACCACGAGGUUACACCUCUGUGACGCUGUGGACAUCGUCAAGGAUACGGCGGCCGCGGUGACACAUGCCAGGCUUGUGUUCUAGCAGGGUUUGCUGAGGAACAAAUGUGGUUGCAGAUUUGGAAGUUUCGAGGCGCUGGUAAAACACGUACAAAUGCUCAAGAAAAAAAAAAAA
rnacentral:lncRNA from 1 species